GGGUCUGGCUGUAGGGUUAUAUAUAGAGGGGUCUGGCUGUAGGGUUAUAUAGAGGGGUCUGGCUGUAGGGUUAUAUAGAGGGGUCUGGCUGUAGGGUUAUAUAGAGGGGUCUGGCUGUAGGGUUAUAUAGAGGGGUCUGGCUGUAGGGUUAUAUAGAGGGGUCUGGCUGUAGGGUUAUAUAGAGGGGUCUGGCUGUGGGUUAUAUAGAGGGGUCUGGCUGUAGGGUUAUAUAGAGGGGUCUGGCGGUAGGGUUAUAUAGAGGGGGAUCUAGCUGUAGGGUUAUAUAUAGAGGGAUCUAGCUGUAGGGUUAUAUAGAGGGGUCUAGCUGUAGGGUUAUAUAGAGGGGUCUGGCUGUAGGGUUAUAUAGAGGGGUCUGGCUGUAGGGUUAUAGACGAGACGGCAACAUAGAGACUAAGAGCGACGGCCACAGAAGAGGGCAGAUAAGAGAGACGGCCACAGAAGACACUUGGGCUAAUGGGCAGGAGUUCAAGCAGUUCAUUGUUGAUAUGCCAGCUAAGCCUGGGACGAUUUUUGAGCAGGAAACAUGGCUCAAACCGAAUGUGGAGUUUAUCAUACAGGGAUAUGUAGUAGUUCGUAGGGAAAGAAUAUGUGGAGGUGUGGUUGAGAGGAGGGGUGGUAGUGAACUGCUAUAAUCCCUGUCAGAUAUUGGACCUGGAAGUGCUGGAGAGGGUGGAGGGCCAGGAUAGAAGUAAGGUAAUGUGGUGUGGGGAUGUUAAUGCCUGACAACACACUCUGGGGUGGGGCGAUGGAUGGAAAUGUGCAAGUGAUGGAAAAUCUGAUAGAAAUGAAAGAUAUGGUGCCUGAGUGAUGGCCGAGGGACCAGGAUUGAUGUAGCCACAGGGAUAGAGUCUGCCUUACACCUCACUCUGGGAUCUAGUGCCAUUGCAGGAAUCUGUGAGGGGGAGGUAUGGGAGGAGUCGACAGUAGGGAGUGAUCACUACUAUGCACAGUAGGCCGGAGGGAGGAGGAGGUGUCAGUGGAUGGAGUAGGCAGGUGGGUGUUCGGAAGGGCAAAGUGGGAUCAGUUUCAGGAGCUGAGUGAGCAGGUGAUGGCUCGGGUGGAUAUGAGAUGGGAUGUGGAUAGUAUGAAUAACUGGCUGAGAACAGCGUUAGUGGGGGCAGCUACUGAGGAGAUACCUAAGAGUUCAGGGAGGAGGAGGAGGAAAAAGCAGUUCCAUGGUGGAGGAAUUUUUCUUCUACAACGAGUCGGACGGGAAGGAUUUACUCCAGACACCCGACAAGGCCCUCAUCCCCGUCAUUCCCAGGAGGAAAAGACGGAGGUAUCGUUUACGACGGUCCGGGUGCCUUGUAAGGAUCCAUCGCCGAGAGAAGUCGUAGCUGAACGACGACAUGAAUAACAUACAGCUGGCGGGUUUUAAGCUUUUUCAGCAGGAUAGAACAGUGGCCUCUGGUAAGACACGGGGCGGCGGCCUAUGCAUAUUUGUAAACAAGAGCUGGUGCACGAAACCUAAGGAAGUCUCAAGGUUUUGCUCGCCUGAGGUAGAGUAUCUCAUGAUAAGCUGUA
rnacentral:lncRNA from 1 species